GACGAACCGUGCGAACGUUGUUCGGAAUCAUUGGGCUUAAAGGGUGCGCAGGCGGGUUCAUAAGUCAGGGGUGAAAUCCCGAGGCUCAACCUCGGAACUGCCUUUGAUACUGUGGAUCUUGAGUCCGGAAGAGGUGAGUGGAACUGCGAGUGUAGAGGUGAAAUUCGUAGAUAUUCGCAAGAACACCGGUGGCGAAGGCGGCUCACUGGUCCGGAACUGACGCUGAGGCACGACAGCGUGGGGAGCAAACAGG
rnacentral:rRNA from 1 species